rnacentral:lncRNA from 1 species
GCCACACCUUAUGCUGUUCUAUGGAAGGACCCAAACGCCAAGGAACUGGCAUCUCUGGAUAAUAGCCAGUGAGAAACCCCCGUUUGUCAAAGACCACUAUGUGAGUAAAUGAACCACAUCCAACCAUGGGAACAGAUGCAACAGUGAAAAGAACAUCCCCGUCGCUUUGUCUGAGACUGCCACUCAUGCCUGGGGUUGCAAGGCAGACAUUUUUAAAAGUCUAAAAGCUUGGGCAUGUUUAGGAAACAGAUGGGAAACAAAUGAAGCAUUGAGGGUUUGCAAAUUCCAGUUCUUUCUUAUCUGUGUGCUUGGGAGUGGGUGGGGCAGAGAAAAGGGAGGGAAAUAUGAGGAUUUGGGCAGGGAAAGUUUGCAAUUUUUCACAUUCUUCUUGCAUAUGGGCGGAAGGAAGGAUGUGAGUAGGAGGCGUUUAUCUUUUGCUUUGUUCUUUGACCAUUCCCCAAAUCACUGAGCUCCUUGGAAUUCAAAAUUGUUAUUACGGAGUCCCUAGUGCAUAGCUCUGUGAUUCUAUGUCAAUUCAUCCGACAAAUGCACAUUUCAUCCAGGCUAAGGAAGGCUGGAAUAGAAUGAACUUCAUGCUGGGGAGUAUGGCUCAUGCCUGUUAUCUCUGUAUUAAGGAGGCUGAGCCAGGAGAAUUACUGCAAAAUUGAAGGUCGGAGUGAGCUAACCUAGUUUGGGUUACAGUGUGAAAACCUGCCUCAAAAGACAAAACACAAACCCGAGAUUUCAUGGGCAUACAGGUGAGAACACACCAGAGAGGGGCCUUUAAUUUUUUCUUUUUGCUGGAUCUAAAUUGCCCAAGUCAGCAUGCUGAGUGGUUUUGCUGGUCUCACACGUGAAUGUGAGGCUGGAGACUGAAGUCAAGGGAAGGACCAGGAAGCGCUGCAGCAGUAAGCUUUCAGUCACUGGGACAAAACGCCUGCGAUCAUCAAUUUCGAUGGAGGAAAGAUUUCUCUUGACUCACAAUUUUGGUACACAGUUGCUUGACCUGGAUUGUCUUAGGAGAGGCAGAAGUGUGUAAAGGAAACCAUCAAACAGAGAAUAAAGGACCAGGGUCCUGGUAUACCCUUAGAGGGCAUAUCCUCAAUGAUCUACUUCAUCUGAUUUGUGCCCCCUCCCAAUAGUCCUAUCAGCUGGAUAUCAAGCCCUCAACCCCUGAGACUUUGGGGGAUAUUCUAAACUCCAAAUAGUAAAUAGUCUUCCCAAUUCCUGGGCUGUGAUAAUACCUAUGUAUGGUUAAUGUGAAAUGAAGUGUACCCCAUAGGCUCCUGUGAUUGGAUACUUGAUCCCCAUCUAGUGAUAUUGACUUGAGAGACUGCAGAACCUUUAGAAGAUAGGGCUUCCUGGCUAAAGUAAGUCAUUGGAGGUGAGUCCUUGGGGAUAUGGUAUCCUUGACUCGUCCCUGCCAUGUCCUCUGCUUCCUGGUGUGGUUGUCAUUUGAAAAGCAGUAGCCAUAUCCCCAUCCCAUGCUUGGGCAAUGCUUUCCUGCCACGAUGGACUCUCCCCCCUGAAUUUGCUAGUGAAAAUAAACCUUCCCUCCUAGC